AUUGAACGCUGGCGGCAUGCCUUACACAUGCAAGUCGAACGGUAACGCGGGGCAACCUGGCGACGAGUGGCGAACGGGUGAGUAAUGUAUCGGAACGUGCCCAGUUGUGGGGGAUAACUGCUCGAAAGAGCAGCUAAUACCGCAUACGACCUGAGGGUGAAAGCGGGGGAUCGCAAGACCUCGCGCAAUUGGAGCGGCCGAUAUCAGAUUAGGUAGUUGGUGGGGUAAAGGCUCACCAAGCCAACGAUCUGUAGCUGGUCUGAGAGGACGACCAGCCACACUGGGACUGAGACACGGCCCAGACUCCUACGGGAGGCAGCAGUGGGGAAUUUUGGACAAUGGACGCAAGUCUGAUCCAGCCAUGCCGCGUGCGGGAAGAAGGCCUUCGGGUUGUAAACUGCUUUUCCCCGGGGCGAAUAACCCCCUCGCGAGGGGGGAUGCCGGUACCGGGGGAAUAAGGAUCGGCUAACUCCGUG
rnacentral:rRNA from 1 species